GUUUUACUAUGGAGUGUGUGCCCCAGUCCAGGGGGCCCAAUAUCUGGGUUUCGGGUUACCAGCAGAAGUGCUCAGCUUCCUUCUGGUCACUCCAUGUAGUUUGGUUAAGCGGACGGCGCCGCAGUAUAGGAUCUUUAUCCUCUUCCUGGUUUGAUAGGCUCAGUGAGGGAACUGAACAGCUUCCUGUCAGUAUGGUAGAUGAAACAGAAGCUCAUCUACAGCAGUCCUCU